AAGGCUGACGCAGCGACGCCGCGUGUGGGAGGAAGCUCUUCGGGGUGUAAACCACUGUUGCCCGGGACGAACAUGGUCUUUCGAGGCCACUGACGGUACCGGGUGAGGAAGCACCGGCUAAUUCUGUGCCAGCAGCCGCGGUAAUACAGAGGGUGCGAGCGUUGUCCGGAAUCACUGGGCGUAAAGGGCGCGUAGGCGGCCUGGUAAGGUUGCGGUGAAAGCCCGGGGCUCAACCCCGGGUCGGCCGUGGCAACUGCUGGGCUGGAGCACUGUAGAGGCAGGUGGAAUUCCGGGUGUAGCGGUGGAAUGCGUAGAGAUCCGGAAGAACACCGGUGGCGAAGGCGGCCUGCUGGGCAGUGGCUGACGCUGAGGCGCGACAGCGUGGGGAGCAAACAGGAUUAGAUACCCUGGUAGUCCACGCCGUAAACGAUGGGCACUAGGUGCUUGGGGGAGCGACCCUCCGAGUGCCGUCGCUAACGCAUUAAGUGCCCCGCCUGGGGAGUACGGCCGCAAGGCUGAAACUCAAAGGAAUUGACG
rnacentral:rRNA from 1 species